GAGAAAGUGUCUAGUGUGUGUUGGUGUAAGACACCUGGUAUCUUUAGGCAGCAUGAGUCCUUUGUAAUUACUACAGGUUCUGCAAAGAACUAUUACUCUUGGCAAGGACUUUAUUGACAUUCCCUUUAGCAAACAGAGACUCGGUGAUGUUCACGGCCACCAGCUCUCAGGAAAGGCUGUUGUGGGCAGCAACACAGCUGGACAUUCCUUUGCUUACUGAUGGGAGAUUCAUAAGGAUACUUGCUCUUGGAGCCCACCUGCCCUGCUGGGAGGUGCUGGGAACACCUGGAGAGCCAUGUGCAGCUGUGUGGCCAGCAAUCCCAGCUUUGUUCCCAGCCAGCUGCCAGACCUGGGAGUGAGGAAGCCUUCCAGAAGACCCCAGCCUAGUCCCCAUCUGACAGCGACCUCAUGAGAUAUCCUGAGUGAGAUCUACCCAGCCGAGCCCAAUAAACCCAUGAAAACAUCA